rnacentral:rRNA from 1 species
UCAAGGAAGAAGUUCUGACGGUACUUGAGGAAUAAGCAUCGGCUAACUCUGUGCCAGCAGCCGCGGUAAUACAGAGGAUGCAAGCGUUAUCCGGAAUCACUGGGCAUAAAGCGUCUGUAGGUUGCCUGCCAAGUCUGCUGUUAAAGAUUAGGGCUUAACCCUGGGAAAGCAGUGGAAACUAGUAGGCUUGAGUGUGGUAGAGGUAGAGGGAAUUCCUAGUGUAGCGGUGAAAUGCGUAGAUAUUAG